rnacentral:misc_RNA from 1 species
CACCCCUCAAGCCUCGCUUGGAGUUGGGCGGCGCCUUUAACGAGGCGUCCCCGAAAGACAGCGGCGGGGCGGCCGAAGCCCGGAGCACGUUGAAAUUUUUCGAAAUUAUUGCCCCGAGGACUCGAGCCGUCUCUGCCGGACGACCACACACACAUCAC